GAUGAAGAACGUAGCGAAAUGCGAUACGUAAUGUGAAUUGCAAAUUCAGUGAAUCAUCGAGUCUUUGAACGCACAUUGCGCCCCCUGGUAUUCCGGGGGGCAUGCCUGUCCGAGCGUCAUUGCUGCCCUCAAGCCCGGCUUGUGUGUUGGGCCCCGUCCUCCGAUUCCGGGGGACGGGCCCGAAAGGCAGCGGCGGCACCGCGUCCGGUCCUCGAGCGUAUGGGGCUUUGUCACCCGCUCUGUAGGCCCGGCCGGCGCUUGCCGAUCAACCCAAAUUUUUAUCCGGGUUGACCUCGGAUCAGGUAGGGAUACCCGCUGAACUUAAGCAUAUCAAUAAGCGGAGGA
rnacentral:misc_RNA from 1 species